rnacentral:tRNA from 1 species
GCGCACGUGGUGGAACGGUAGACACGCUACCUUGAGGGGGUAGUGCCCUACGGGCGUGGAAGUUCAAAUCUUCUCGUGCGCACCA